rnacentral:lncRNA from 1 species
GGAGGGCCAGCCCGCUCCCUGCGGCCUUGCCCUGGAGCCGUGGCACCGUCUGGCCCUGUAGGCUAGUGAUGGGGGCGGCGGGGGACCCUCACCGCGGGGGUCAUAGAGGACAAGACCAAGGUUAUAGUUACCGCCUCGCGAGCUGAGCUUUACGGAGCAGGCCGCACCUCUAGCAGCACUUUCCGCGCACUUGUGACCUGCAGCAUCCGGAGGCCACACCUGGCCGAGUUCCCUCCCUCCCUUCCUCCUGUUGACGCUGCAGGGGAGCUGGCGCCCUGGGGCUCCGGAUCCAGUCCUGGCACGUUGUCGCACCUGUGACUUGCCCUUGGCCGGACAGGCACUGUCCCUCGCCGGGGGAGGGAGAGGGCUCACGUGGUCCCCUUGCUCCCGCAGUCAUGCACUUGGAUGAAAACCGUAAGACUGAGAAGUCACGAGAACCAGGUUGUCUCCCAGUUGUGGCGCAGAGCCACUGGGUAGCUGUGGAUCAUUAAUUUCCCCGUGGCAGACCUCCUGCGUUUUCUGCACCGCGGCUGUGGCCCCGGGGAGAGGGAAGGCUACUGCUUCGGAUUCAAAUCCUUACUCCUACUUACUGCAAGUGUCACCUUGAGCGACUUCAGAUCUCUCUGACUUUGCUCUCAGGAAUGUAAAUUGUUAACAAUCAGUACCUACCUGGUAGCGGGAAUUAAAUGAGUUAACGUGUGUGAAUGUGAGUAGAUCUCUGUAGGUGUUCAGUGAAUGCUCAUUUCCGUGAAUAUUCCUGUUUUAGAAUGUAGAAAAGGAUGUGAGGGGUUUUCUCUUUGCCUCCUGGAAGCUUUCCUAUUUUCAAGUGAAGAAACAGAGGCACAGCAAAUGAAGCAACAGUUCACUGAAGAACCCAACAACCUUUUCCUCAUGCCUUUUCCAUGGCUAUCAGUAAGUUCAGAGGCAAACACAACGCCCUUAGGUGGUAAUUCUUAUUUACACUUUACAUGUUUACUUCUUUCCUCUUUAUUUGUAUUAACUCUUUGCUUCUACAGCCUGUAUUUUAAGCCUGUUCAAACCGUGUUGGGGCGUUCCCAUCAUGGCGCAUCGGAAACGAAUCCGACUAGGAACCGUGAGGUUGUAGGUUCCAUCCCUGGCCUUGCUCAGUGGGUUAAGGAUCCAGCAUUGCCAUGA